AGACGUAUAAAAAUUAGACCGCUAAUGUCGCUGCAAAUGUUGUGACCAACAUCUAGUUUGCAUGUUUCAGAGGUGGUACUCAAAGUGUCAAAUUUUUCUUCAAUUCAAUCAUAGUAACGUGUUUUCGAAAUCAAAACAUAAUCUCUGUCAUAGUUCUUGCCAUCGUACUUGAGUCGUGUUGACUUGAGAAAAAAAAGUUUUUCGUGUGCCUUGAUGAUUUGUAACUUUAAAGGCAAAGGAAAACAUCUUCAAUUGGUGUCGUUCCACAGGAUCGCAUAGUUUGAGGACGUCAAUGAAAGACAAUACGGAUGGCGGAUUAACUUUUGCUCCUAGUUCUUUCAACCUGCUGCAGGAAAAAGUUUUUGUCUGCUACGGUUUGACCAUAUGUAAGGAAGUCUGAAAACCGUGAAGAUCAAAUCUUCUAUGUUUGCACAUUCCUAAUUGAUUUUUAUUAUUUAUGGUUGGGCGAAGAGAAAAAGUUGUAGCAAAUAAACGUUUUUUUUUAUUCAAA